rnacentral:lncRNA from 1 species
UGACGAGAUUGUCUGUGCAUGUAAAACUAGCAUCACGAUACAUGUACCAGAGUGUUUUAUGUCAAUAAUGCUCUUCAGUAAGGCCUGUCGGGAAUUUAGAUCGAUUUCAUAUAUGCAAACGUUAUUACCUGAUACUUAUGUUUUAUGACGUGAGUUAUAUAACAAUGACUAGACGUUGAAAAAACACGAUCUAUACACAAACACAUGUACCUACUGUACACAACAAGGCCAUUCUCGGAAAUAUUGUUGUAUAAGGUACAUGAAGAUAUG